rnacentral:rRNA from 1 species
AUUGAACGCUGGCGGCAGGCCUAACACAUGCAAGUCGAGCGGAUGAGUGGAGCUUGCUCCAUGAUUUAGCGGCGGACGGGUGAGCAAUGCCUAGGAAUCUGCCUGGUAGUGGGGGACAACAGUUGGAAACGACUGCUAAUACCGCAUACGUCCUACGGGAGAAAGCAGGGGACCUUCGGGCCUUGCGCUAUCAGAUGAGCCUAGGUCGGAUUAGCUAGUAGGUGAGGUAAUGGCUCACCUAGGCGACGAUCCGUAACUGGUCUGAGAGGAUGAUCAGUCACACUGGAACUGAGACACGGUCCAGACUCCGACGGGAGGCAGCAGUGGGGAAUAUUGGACAAUGGGCGAAAGCCUGAUCCAGCCAUGCCGCGUGUGUGAAGAAGGUCUUCGGAUUGUAAAGCACUUUAAGUUGGGAGGAAGGGCAGUAAGUUAAUACCUUGCUGUUUUGACGUUAUCGACAGAAUAAGCACCGGCUAACUUCGUGCCAGCCGCCGCGGUAAAAC